CGUCACUCACGUUUGACGCUUCACAUCACUGUGUGGCGCAUAAACAAAAGUGAAGCUGUAAGUUUCUUCGAGAUACACUGACCAUGGACAAUACACACCUCUGAAGAAUCUCCAGUCAAAACAGCAAAGCUGCAACAUGUAUAAGAAAAAAUUGUGCUACACGAACUUCGAUGUGUCAAAAACUCGUGACGACAGGAUUUUAAUCGACCCAGAGAUGACUUAACAGGUUGCAGUGCAGGUUCAAGAACUACUGAGGCUUUGGCAGCAAGUGAUUGGGGCAUUGCUAUAGACAUUUCCUGCUGUGGUUCCGGGGAAUGGAAAAGCAAUUCCACGCUCGGGCCGCACUGAAUCCGUCUCUGUCAGUUCCGCCGCCGGUUGCUCUGAAAUCAGUCAUGGCCACGUGUCUCUCUAACUUCUGAUCAGGCCGGCACAGAGAGACACAAGUGGGACCAAAACAUUUUCAUAGGUAUGUUCUCUGUUUGCUUCUUCCUGCUUGAGAUCUCUGAGGCCCGUUGCACUUAUAUCCUUUAUAUGAACACAUUUCUUUGCACUAGGAUUUUACCUGUGAGGGAAUGUUUCUGUUUGUCAGUAAACAAAGGGAUUUGAGUCGAGGCCCAUUCGAGCUCAUUCCUUACUAAUAAAAAGUUGUAAGAAAGAAUUUUGCUAUAUAUUUCAAAAAGAUUUCUCUGUG
rnacentral:lncRNA from 1 species